GACGAACGCUGGCGGCGUGCUUAACACAUGCAAGUCGAACGGAAAGGCCCUGCUUUUGUGGGGUGCUCGAGUGGCGAACGUGUGAGUAACACGUGAGUAACCUGCCCUUCACUUUGGGAUAACUUCAGGAAACUGUGUCUAAUACCGUAUAGGAGCUCCUGCUUCAUGGUGGGUGUUGGAAAGUUUCGGCGGUUGUGGAUGGACUCGCGGCUUAUCAGCUUGUUGGUGGGGUAGUGGCUUACCAAGGCGUUGACGGGUAGCCGGCCUGAGAGGGUGACCGGCCACAUUGGGACUGAGAUACGGCCCAGACUCCUACGGGAGGCAGCAGUGGGGAAUAUUGCACAAUGGGCGGAAGCCUGAUGCAGCAACGCCGCGUGCGGGAUGACGGCCUUCGGGUUGUAAACCGCUUUCGCCUGUGACGAAGCGUGAGUGACGGUAAUGGGUAAAGAAGCACCGGCUAACUACGUG
rnacentral:rRNA from 1 species